AUGGUUGAAGCAGAUCGCCCAGGAAAGCUCUUCAUUGGCAGGUUUAAUACAGAAACAAAUGAGAAAGCCCUUGAAGCAGUAUUUGGCAAAUAUGGAUGAAUAGUGGAAGUACUUCUGAUGAAAGACCAUGAAACCAACAAACCUAGAGGAUUUGCUUUUGUCACCUUUGAAAGCCCAGCAGAUGCCAAGGAUGCAGCCAGAGACAUGAAUGGAAAGUCCUUAGAUGGGAAAGCCAUCAAAGUGGAACAGGCCACCAAACCCUCAUUUGAAAGUGGUAGACGUGGACCACCUCCACCUCCAAGAAGCAGGGACCCUCCCAGAGGUCUUAGAGGAGGAAGAGGAGGAAGUGGAGGAACUAGGGAACCUCCUUCACGUGGAGGACACAUGGAUGAUGGUGGCUAUUCCAUGAAUUUUAACAUGACUUCUUCCAGGGGACAGCUUCCAGUGAAAAGAGGACCACCACCACAAAGUGGGGGUCCUCCUCCUAAAAGAUCCGCACCUUCAGGACCAGUUCUCAGCAGUAGUGGAAUGGGAGGAAGAGCCCCUGCGUCACGUGGAAGAGAUGGUUAUGGAGGCCCACCUCGAAGAGAACCCCUGCCUUCUCGUAGAGAUGUUUAUUUUCCCCCGGAGAUGAUGGAUAUUCUACUAAAGACAGCUAUUCAAGCAGAGAUUACCCGAGUUCCCGUGAUACAAGAGAUUAUGCCCCACCACCAAGAGAUUAUACUUACCGUGACUAUGGUCACUCCAGUUCACGUGAUGACUAUCCAGCAAGAGACAAUAGUGACAGAGAUGGCUAUGGACGGGGUCGUGACUAUUCAGAUGACAGCAGCUCACGUGACAGAUAUGGUGGAAGUCGAGACAGUUACUCAAGCAGCCGAAGUGAUCGCUACUCAAGUGGUCGUGAUUGGGUUGGCAGACAAGAACAAGGGCUUCCCCUUCUAUGGAAAGGGGGUACCCUCCGCCACGUGAUUCCUACAACAGUUCAAGCCGCGGAGCACCAAGAGGUGGUGGCCAUGGAGGAAGCCGAUCUGAUAGAUGGGGAGGCAGAAGUAGGUACUAG